UUAUCAUGUAUCUCAUCUGAAGAAAGUUGGUUGUGGGGUAAUAGGAGGUGGAAGCAUAGUUACCUACUGACCUGCACCAGUUAGAGUGUUGCAGGCAAAUGUAUUGGCAGACAUGGGAUGUGCUGUUAGGCUAGAUUACGGUGCAGUUGAAGCGCAGGUCAGGGCUACCUCGAAUGAAUGGCAGUUUAUGUAGGAAAAGUUUACCUAUUUAAACCUUGACGAUAAGGUUGAUCUCCCAAAGGGAAGUAAUGUUGGCCACAGGAAGCAGUCAUGAGGGAAAGUCUUGAAGGGGUAUGUAAGAAAGUAGAGCUAGCAGGAUGUAGGUCAGCUAGUUAAUACUACUACUACUAUUCAGGGAAUUUUUCAAACAAUAAUUACUUGAGUAGUUAGGAUACUGUAAUUUUAGUAAUUACUAAUUAGGAGAUUUAUUAGAAGAUAAAUUCUAACGUACCCAAGAAAUGUUGUGUCUGCAGUUAUAUACCCAGAUGACUUGGCCUAAAUAAAUUGGUAGAACUGUUAGAAAAUCUCAACAUAACAAUUAAGCCAACCGUUCUUAAAGUAGACCCUAAAGUUACGAAUAAAUAUUAUGAGUCCCAAGAACAGUUUUACAAAUUUUGUGAAGACUUUUCCUAUUAUCCUCAACUUUGAGCUUCAUAGUCUUUUGCAGUUGUAUCUGUUGAAAUUGAUGUUUGAUCAUCAUCAUUUAAAAGUGA
rnacentral:lncRNA from 1 species